CGGGACGGUUUGAUAAGUCUGAAGUUAAAAGGCUGUGGCUCAACCAUAGUUCGCUUUGGAAACUGUCAAACUUGAGUGCAGAAGGGGAGAGUGGAAUUCCAUGUGUAGCGGUGAAAUGCGUAGAUAUAUGGGGGAACACCGGUGGCGAAAGCGGCUCUCUGGUCUGUAACUGACGCUGAGGCUCGAAAGCGUGGGGAGCGAACAGGAUUAGAUACCCUGGUAGUCCACGCCGUAAACGAUGAGUGCUAGGUGUUGGAUCCUUUCCGGGAUUCAGUGCCGCAGCUAACGCAUUAAGCACUCCGCCUGGGGAGUACGACCGCAAGGUUGAAACUCAAAGGAAUUGACGGGGCCCGCACAAGCGGUGGGGCAUGUGGUUUAAUUCGAAGCAACGCGAAGAACUUUACCAGGUCUUGACAUCCCGAUGCUAUUUCUAGAGAUAGAAAGUUACUUCGGUACAUCGGUGACAGGUGGUGCAUGGUUGUCGUCAGCUCGUGUCGUGAGAUGUUGGGUUAAGUCCCGCAACGAG
rnacentral:rRNA from 1 species